rnacentral:rRNA from 1 species
AUUGAACGCUGGCGGCAUGCCUUACACAUGCAAGUCGAACGGUAACGCGGGCAACCUGGCGACGAGUGGCGAACGGGUGAGUAAUGCAUCGGAACGUGCCUGGUAGUGGGGGAUAACUGUUCGAAAGAACAGCUAAUACCGCAUACGACCUGAGGGUGAAAGGGGGGGAUCGCAAGACCUCUCGCUAUCAGAGCGGCCGAUGUCGGAUUAGCUAGUUGGUGGGGUAAAGCCGCCAAGGCAACGAUCCGUAGCUGGUCUGAGAGGACGACCAGCCACACUGGGACUGAGACACGGCCCAGACUCCUACGGGAGGCAGCAGUGGGGAAUUUGGACAAUGGACGCAAGUCUGAUCCAGCCAUGCCGCGUGCGGGAAGAAGGCCU